GGGUCAGUAGGUUGGUCGUGCCACCGGUACGUACUGGUCUCACUGAUUCCUCCUUCCUGAAGAACCGUAAUGCCAUUAAUUUGGUGUUGCGGGGAAGCAGGACUGUUACUUUGAAAAAAUUAGAGUGUUUAAAGCAAACUAACGCUUGAAUACAUUAGCAUGGAAUAAUGAAAUAGGACGAUCGAUCCUAUUUUGUUGGUUUCUAGGAUUGACGUA
rnacentral:rRNA from 1 species